ACAGUGAUGGGAAAAGAUGUUCCAGACCCAGAGAGGCAAAUCCUUGGCUGUUGGAGCUCACUUCAGAGUUCAGGUGAAUGCAGAGUAUCAAGGAUGAAGAGGAAAGAAUGAUCUACCCUGGCUCUGGUUGCUGAACUACUCCAGGGAGUAAUCUCAAACAUCCAGUGUAAUCAGAUGCAAGUUGACUCAAGCAUAUGGAGGCUGUAUCACAUUGUGAGGAAGUAAGAACAAGCCAAGAGUAGCAUGGAGCAGAAGAGGCUUUAGGGUCAGAGAAACUAGCUAGAAUAGAGAAGGUGCAGAAUCUCAAAUCAUCCUGUCUCUGGAGGUACUGUUAUGAAUUCUAAUAUAAUCUAAGCCAGAAAUGAAA